rnacentral:rRNA from 1 species
GAUGAACGCUGGCGGCGUGCCUAACACAUGCAAGUCGAACGGAGCUGCUUUGAUGAAGUUUUCGGAUGGAUUUAAAACAGCUUAGUGGCGGACGGGUGAGUAACGCGUGGGUAACCUGCCUCACACUGGGGGAUAACAGUUAGAAAUAGCUGCUAAUACCGCAUAAGCGCACAGUUCCGCAUGGAACAGUGUGAAAAACUCCGGUGGUGUGAGAUGGACCCGCGUCUGAUUAGCCAGUUGGCGGGGUAACGGCCCACCAAAGCGACGAUCAGUAGCCGGCCUGAGAGGGUGAACGGCCACAUUGGGACUGAGACACGGCCCAAACUCCUACGGGAGCAGCAGUGGGAAUAUUGGCACAAAUGGGGGGAAACCCUGAUGCAGCGACGCCGCGUGAGUGAAGAAGUAUUUCGGUAUGUAAAGCUCUAUCAGCAGGG